rnacentral:rRNA from 1 species
GAUCCUGGCUCAGGAUGAACGCUGGCGGCGUGCCUAAUACAUGCAAGUCGAACGCUGGAAAUCUAGCUUGCUAGAUUGAAGGAGUGGCGAACGGGUGAGUAAUACAUAAGCAACCUGCCCACGGAGACUGGGAUAAUCUCUGGAAACGGGGACUAAUACCGGAUAGGUAAUCGGAAGGCAUCUUCUGAUUAUUAAAGGUUAAAAACACUGGUGGAUGGGCUUAUGGCGCAUUAGUUAGUUGGUG